AGUGAACGCUGGCGGUAGGCCUAACACAUGCAAGUCGAACGGCAGCACAGUAAGAGCUUGCUCUUACGGGUGGCGAGUGGCGGACGGGUGAGGAAUACAUCGGAAUCUACUUUUUCGUGGGGGAUAACGUAGGGAAACUUACGCUAAUACCGCAUACGACCUACGGGUGAAAGCAGGGGAUCUUCGGACCUUGCGCGAUUGAAUGAGCCGAUGUCGGAUUAGCUAGUUGGCGGGGUAAAGGCCCACCAAGGCGACGAUCCGUAGCUGGUCUGAGCGGAUGAUCAGCCACACUGGAACUGAGACACGGUCCAGACUCCUACGGGAGGCAGCAGUGGGGAAUAUUGGACAAUGGGCGCGAGCCUGAUCCAGCCAUACCGCGUGGGUGAAGAAGGCCUUCGGGUUGUAAAGCCCUUUUGUUGGGAAAGAAAAGCAGCAGGUUAAUACCCCGCUGUUCUGACGGUACCCAAAGAAUAAGCACCGGCUAACUUCGUG
rnacentral:rRNA from 1 species